UACGUAGGGUGCGAGCGUUGUCCGGAAUUACUGGGCGUAAAGAGCUCGUAGGCGGUUUGUUGCGUCUGCCGUGAAAACCCGAGGCUUAACCUCGGGCUGGCGGUGGAUACGGGCAGACUAGAGGUAGGUAGGGGAGAAUGGAAUUCCCGGUGUAGCGGUGAAAUGCGCAGAUAUCGGGAGGAACACCGGUGGCGAAGGCGGUUCUCUGGGCCUUACCUGACGCUGAGGAGCGAAAGCGUGGGGAGCGAACAGG
rnacentral:rRNA from 1 species